UACGUAGGGGGCUAGCGUUGUCCGGAAUCAUUGGGCGUAAAGAGCGUGUAGGCGGUCCGGUAAGUCCGUUGUGAAAGUCCAGGGCUCAACCCUGGGAUGCGGGUGGAUACUGCCGGGCUCGAGUCCGGAAGAGGCGAGUGGAAUUCCUGGUGUAGCGGUGAAAUGCGCAGAUAUCAGGAGGAACACCAAUGGCGAAGGCAGCACUCUGGGACGGUACUGACGCUGAGACGCGAAAGCGUGGGGAGCAAACAGG
rnacentral:rRNA from 1 species